AACGCCAAUCCAAAGACGGUUGUUUUACAGCCGGUUAGGGUUCAGCCGAACCAAAUCCGGCAGUGCUGACUGCAAUGUUGAGGUCCUUCGCCACCCUCCUCCUCUCCGCCCUCCGCCGCUCGGAGAGUAACAAGUUCCGUCCGCUCGCCAUCCUCGUCCUCGGCGGCCGAACGAGCCACGGACGACAGGGAGCCAUGGCGGAAGGAGGCGAUGUUAGGAUGCGGAACAUUGGGAUCUCCGCCCACAGAUCAUCCUCACCGAGCGGGUCCUCUUCUGCACGGGGAGGAUCGACGAGAUCCAUGAGGUCCGAGGGAAGGACGGGGUUGGCGCGAAGAUGGACUCGAUAGACCUAGAGAGGGGGAAGAGCAUCACGAUCCAGUCCGCAGCUACCUACUGCACCUGGAACGGAUAUCAGGUGGUUUUUCUCUGACUAAAGUUUGGAGUAUUUAUUUUAAUCUUUUGGAUGGUAUAGGAUGCUCUUCGACCGCUGACAUAAAGUGGGUGUUACAUGAGAGUGAAUUGCUGCUCAAGAUUGUAUAAGCAAUUUCGGGUUUUGAAAUGGUUCAUGAACUGGUAACGGAACUAAGCGUACUGGACACUGACAACGGGACUAGAAGUCCUGACCUAUUAAUUGUGCACACAACAACUCAAUCUCCGCAGAGACUAUAUCUUCUUAAAGUUCAAUUUUUUUGGUUGCUUAUAUUAGAUUGCAUGGAACUUUUGCUAUGUUUAAAAGUUACUGUGUCUGGUGCUUUGCCAAGCAUGUGUUAGCCCCUGGAUGACACUGUUCAUGAACUGCCUUUUAUAUAUCAGUCAAAUGAGCAUGAUGUGGUGAACGGAUGACAUAAAAUGUAGAUUUACAUAUUAAUAUCAUUAAUACUCCUGCCACAUGGAUUUCACCAUUGACCGAGUCAAUACAACCUAGGAAUCAAGGCACAAGUACCGGAGGAGCAACAAGGCAAGCUAAGCUACGACAUCAUAGUGCGGCAAAAUCUAAGCUAUGACAUCAUAGUGCGGUGAUGCAAGUUCCAAUUGGAUUAGAAGAGGAAUUUGAGGAGCUUGUAGAUCUUGUAGAUUUGAAAGCAUAUAACUUCCAUGGAGCCAUCGGUGAGAGAAUUGUAACAGCUGAUAUUCCACAACUUGGAGGCACCGGUUACAGAAAAGCGGUGUGAGCUUAUUGAGGUUGUCUCUGAAUUAGAUGAUAAACUCGCUGAAGCUUUGCUUAAUGAUGAACCGAUAUCUCCCGAUGACCUCAAGAUGGCAAUUCUUAGGGCAACUGUAGCAUGCAAAUUCUUUCCAGUCUACAUGGGAAGUGCUUUCAAGAACAAGAUAUAUUGAACCUCUACCAUUGGGUUCUCUUACGAAGUUUGAAGUUGAGAAUCUUAUCAUUGGGCAAGCAAUACCUUCAAACUUCAUUCCAGCAAUUGAGAAAGGGUUCAGAGAAGCUAGCAACUCGUGGUAUUGACAGAUGGGGCAUCACAAGCUGUUGAUUCCAGUGAGCUGGCAUUUAAGCUAGCAGCUAUAUAUGCAUUUAGACAGCCGAGCCUGUCAUAUUGGAACCCUUGAUGAAAGUGGCAUUGAAAGUGCCAUCAGAAUUCCAGGGCACUAUUACUGGUGAUAUUAACAAGAGGAAAGGUAUGAUUGUUGGAAAUGACCAGGAUGGUGAUGGUACUGUGGUUGUUGCUCAUGUAUGUAGAUUCCAAUCUUCUCCUUUGAACGAUCUGCUGACGUGUGGAAAUUGCAUAUUGAUGCGACCUGGUACCUCCAAGCGACAUGUUUGGAUGCUCUACAGCCCUACACUCCACGACACAGGGCAAAGGUGAAUUUCACCAUGGAAUAUUUGGAGCACUCCUCUGUUUCUCAAGAUGUACAGAUGCAACUCAUAAAUGCACAAGGUGGCAACAAGGUUGCAGAGUAGAACUGUUCUUUUCACACGAUAUGAGAUAUCACCAUAUUUCCACCAAUAACUCUUUAAAUUCAUUGAAGGAAAACUACACGCCAUACGAAUUUAUGUAUACAUUCUUUUGCCAGGACCUAAGAUGUAGAUUUUGUUGGUGAUUUUACUGAAACCAGAUCAUAGAUGCCUGAGAUCUACACUUGCAAAUCUGUAACUUAUUUGAGAAUUAGGUGCAAAAAUUAGCUUCUCUUGUUCAUUUAGGUACCACAAUGAGGAACUUGUUACUACCAGGAACACAUGCACUCGGAUUGAAGUGCAUCUGGAAAUUUUAAUGGUGUUUCACCAGAUGUAAUGAAUUCACUAUAAAAGGUGCUUCUCAGGUAUACUCAUAUCCAAUUUUUCUCAAUGAUAUUCAAAGUCAUUGGUUGGA